rnacentral:rRNA from 1 species
UGGGGAAUAUUGGACAAUGGGCGCAAGCCUGAUCCAGCCAUGCCGCGUGAGUGAUGAAGGCCUUAGGGUUGUAAAGCUCUUUCACCGGGGACGAUGAUGACGGUACCCGGAGAAGAAGCCACGGCUAACUUCGUGCCAGCAGCCGCGGUAAUACGAAGGGGGCAAGCGUUGUUCGGAAUUACUGGGCGUAAAGGGCGCGUAGGCGGCCGCUCAAGUCAGGUGUGAAAUCCCCGGGCUCAACCUGGGAACUGCACUUGAAACUGUGUGGCUUGAAUCCGUGAGAGGUUGGUGGAAUUCCCAGUGUAGAGGUGAAAUUCGUAGAUAUUGGGAAGAACACCGGUGGCGAAGGCGGCCAACUGGCACGGUAUUGACGCUGAGGCGCGAAAGCGUGGGGAGCAA